AAUCAUCUCCCAUUGAAAGCUGAAUCAUGAGGAUACCAUCUCCAAGCAGGUGGAGUAUUUGAUCCCUUUAGCAAGGCAGUGAUUUUGAAAUUCGGGUUUAGACAAAAAGAUAUUUCAAGCUCCUGAAGAACAAGUUUGAAGGAUUCAGAGCAGAGAAUUGCACCCUGGCAUGAUGCCUAUGCCAGCUGGACUGUGUGAUUUUUGUUCUUUAGUAGAAGGAUAACAUGACAUAGCAGGAAUAAUACUGCCUUUUCUUUCUGGCAUGGAUCAAGAGAAAAGAAAAUACAAGAAAACAGACAGAAGCAAGGCAAGGUACUUCUAUGGAAGGGUGAGCCCUCACAGAUGGAGCAAUGGGGCGCGCACACCUGAACAAGGGAGGGGAAGGAGUUCUUAUCCCUGAUGCAUGUGACCCCUGCUGCUGUGUCCUUCCCCUAUUGGCUAAGGUUAGACCACACAGCCUAAACUAAUUCCGAUUGGCUAAUUCAAAGAGAGCGACGGGGGCUUCUGACAGCUUUGGAGAUUGUGACAUUGGAAUAAAGGAAAAACGUACAGGACUCAUGAAGCGCUGAAAUGUUCACAAAUAUCAAGCAAAAGUCAAUGAAAUUUAUUUUGAGCUAUUUACAUCAUUUAAUAAUUGAGCAAGGUAUACUCCUAUGAACAAAAUUUGGAGCAUGUUUGUCUCUCUCUGCCUGGCGUCUUCAGAAUUUGGAAACUAGUUAGUCAUGGAAAUUUAUUUUGAGCUAUUUACAGCAUUUAAUAAUUGAGCAAGGUAUACUCCUAUGAACAAAAUUUGGAGCAUGUUUGUCUCUCUCUGUCUGCCUGGCAUCUACAGAAUUUGGAAACUAGUUGUGCUGUACUGCAUGAGAAUGCCUGCAUUUAGUAUGCGAACUGGAAUUGGCAAAGGACGAUGGCUGCUCUCCCGCUAACUUUAAAUAAGUCAUGUCACAAAUUGCAUGUAAGACUUAUAAAAUAUUAACGUUGGGAGACACUGAAACAAAUCAGUAUUUCUAUUAACCUGCGAAAAGAUCUUCCAAAUAUAUAACCAAAGUAACUAAAACAAAUACUAAAAAGAGUUUACUUUUAAAACUAGGUUUAUGAAAUAUUUUCCCCAAGUUUGCAUGAUUAUUAGAAAAGUGGCUUAAAGAGUAAAGAAAAACUGGAAUCUUGUUGACCCCAAGUACUCCUCUAACCCUUUUGCUCUGCUGUUACAAUGGACCAGUAAAUCUUCAAACAUAACACCUCUUAAAUUAAAAACAGAAAUGGUGUAGAUUGCACACAUUACAACAUUUUUUUAGGCUUACUUCUUUUUUUCAAUAUUAAAGCUUAUUUUUCACACAUUACUUAAUGUUGCCUGUUAAAAAGUGGUGCUUAUAUUUGUGUAGCUAUCUGUUUGAUGGUGGUUUAGUUUAGGAAAUAAAUCACACAGUGACAAUUGGUUGUUUUUUUUGUUUGUUUGUUGAUUGGUUUUCUGUACUAGAAAGGAUGCAUAGUCAAGCAAAGGUGGAUAAUUAUAAACAGCCUAACAGUAUCUAGACUCAGUCUGCUUUCUUUGCAAUUAGUAGACAAGAGGGAAAAGAUUAAAGAUAUAGUGAACUCUAUAACUCUGUUUUAUUGACUCCAUGGAAAUUCAGACACACAUGCUUGAGAGAGAGCAAGUGAACUAGAAAGACUUUGUUUAGUGUCAGCUUUUAAUUUAAACUGUAUUCAAGUUGGCUUAUUAACAGUCUAGGUUUUAUAAAAAUAGAGAGGAAGAUAAAUGAUAUGUAAUAGAAUGAACAAUGUAAACACCUUUUUUCAAAAAUGGAUUUAUUGAUAACUUCCUAUAUUCUUCAUAUUAGGGUAGAUAUUAUAGUAGAUAGAAAAGCAAGAUACAGUCUCCAUCUUUGAAGUGAAAUAUAAUCUUGCCAGGGAGAUAAGCAGUCUUUACAGGUGCUAAAUUGAGCAGAUAUAUUAUGUGAGAAUUUUGAAAGUAAGCCUAGAACUCGGAACUUGAUUCUAAGUGCAAGGAAUAGCCACCAACUUUUAUGAACACGAUUUUGAUAUUGAUAUUGAUAUGACUGACGUGUUUUCAGGAAAGGUAUCUAUCAACAUUGAUUUCCAAAAGUAAAGGCCAUUUUGUAGUUGAUAUUUUACUGAAAUAUUCUAGUACAACUGAUACUGCCAGUCACUUCUUUGAAAUUCUCUUCUCCUUGACUUUGGUGCCCAAGAUUCUGUUGAUUCUUCUCAAAUUACUGUUAUUUCUUAUUAUCUUUAUGUGCUUCUCUUUUUCUUUAAAAUGUUGAUAUUUCUUUGAAAUAUUUCUUUGCAUUGUUGGUACUUCAUAGCAUCCCACCAUCAGUUAAAGUCUCUUCUUAUUUGACCUGCUUCCCACAAAUGAAACAAUAAAUUUAUCUUUACUCCAAUGCCAGCUAAGUGCUGAUGACUCUCAACUAUGUCCUGGCUUCUCUCAUUUAAGCUUAGACCCAUAUAUUAAACUGUUCAUAUACAUCUUCACCUAGAUGUCAUAAAAACGUUACUAUGUCCAAUAGUUGAUUCCUUCCUCCCCAGACAGUGGGCAUUCACUGUGUGUUGUAUACCCAACACCAGUUUGUCUUUCUUGAUGGCUGCUUGGUUUUAUUUUGGAAAAAUCUCUCUCUCUCAUUUGAAUGCAUUUUUGUCAGUUCAGGAGCUCUGCCCUCUCACUGCAGAUGCCAAAGGAGUGUUUAGAGAAUGUAAAAGGCUAUUUUUGCAGGUAUUUUAAUUUACCAUAUUGUGGUCUAAGGGUGAGCAUGUUUCUGAAACAGACAACUGGAUUCUCUCUCCAUCAUUCUGGAUAUUGUAAUACAAGGACCAAAAACUUGAAGUCCACUUAUUUCAACGAUGGCAUCCCGCUUGCGUGGUUGAGCAGUUCUUGUUGCUUCGGUUUCUUUUCUGGAUGCUGUCCUAUUUUCAUGGCUACUAUUCUAACUAUGCCCCAUCUGAUAUCUUCCUGUGUUAGUUAUUUGUUGAUAUAAAGCAAAUUACCUCAAAAUGAAACAACUCAAAAUGACCACGUUGAUUGUUUCUUACAGUGUCCGUAGCUCAGGGAUUUGGGAGUGGUUUAACUGGGUGCCUCCAGCUCUAGUUUUCUAAUGAGAUUGCAAUCAUGCUGUUGGUGGGGCUGCAGCUAUUGCCAGCCCCAGCUGGGGCAGGUGAGCUCACUCAUGUGGCUGUUGGCAGACCUCAGAAAGUUUGUUUCCAAAUUUGCUAUGUGGGCCUCUCUACAAGGUUUUCUUACAGCAUGGCAGCUGGGUUUUACGAGGGUUGGUGAUCUAAGAGGGAAAGAGAGAACAUCCAUGAUUAAAACCACAGCAUUCUUGUUAACCUAAUCCCUGAGGUAAUAUCCCAUCACUUCAGCUUAUUCUAUUCAUUAGAAGUAAGUCAAUAAAUUCAGCCCACAGUCAGUGGAAGGGAAUUAUACAAGGCUGUGAAUCCUAGGGGAUUCACAUGAUUGGAAAACAUCUUAGAGGCUGCCUACUAUUCCCAACAAGUUUCCUUUCUACCUAAGAUAGCCAACAUUGUCUUCUAUUGAUUGCAGUCUUACAACUCUAAUGGAUAAACUACGUAAGCAGUACCCUUUUGUUCUGUAUUCCUAUGUGGUUUUUUGCCAUUAUGAUCUUCCACCCAAAGUCCAAAUCUCGGAGUAAUGUUUAUCACCUCGCCCUCCCUAACUCCCCACAUCAAAUAUCUUUCUACAUUCCAAUCCUUCAGUUUCUAAAACCACUUCAGUUGAGAGGAAUCUUCAUGACUGCACUCUUCUAUCUUAUUAUCUGAAUCUUUUUCCUCUAGAAUUUAUGCUUCUGUUCCUGCUUUUAAUUUCCUGAACAUUUUCCAUGUAUAUAAUUAUUUCUUGUUGUUCCUAUGGCUCUUUCAGCCUGAGACACCUUUUCCUUCAUCUCUCCAGUCCCACAUUACACUUCUCCUAGUGUGUUCUUUUAGGGCCAGCUUAGUCAUUACCUUACCUAGAAAACCGCCUCUGAUUUCCCAAGUCUGAGUAGUGUAUUUUCAUUGUGGACUCACAGUGUUAUCUGAAUCUUUGUUAUUGCACUUCACACAUUAUUAUACUACCUGAUAUGUGUCUAUCUUCCCUGUAAGACUGUGAAAUUGUGGGUUAAAACUUUACUUUUGUGUUUAUUUUUUGAUCUUCAUGUCUUGUACAUACCUCUUGUAUUAUGAUUUGUAUUAUAAUUCUCAAAAUAUAAUAGAUAAGCUGCAAACAAAGUUUAUAUCAACAUCCUACAUGACUCAAUAAAGAUAGUUAUAUUUGCUCAUAACAAAAAUUAAAUAGCAUGAGAAUCUAUGUGGAGAGUAAGUCGUUGAAAGUAACACUGUUAAAGUUAGGGCACACAUUGAAUUGGAAAUUCAGGAAUUCAGUAGUAUACUAGGAAAAUAAUGGAGAAUUAAAGCAAUUAGAUAACUAUUUUAUCAUAAUUGCAAAUCCUUUUCAAUUAUAUAUGCAGUUUAUUAUAUGAAAUGGUUUUAUAUAAAUUACCAUAAGAGUAAAUUUAGAGCUAGUGAAAACCUGAAGAUUAGUAGAGGCUUGCAGGGCACAAUGAAGACUUUGCAAUUUUUGAUGAUUAGAGAUUACAUGAACUUAAUGUGUAAGGUUGUUUCCAAAACUCAAAUAUUAGAAAUGAUUGAUAUCCACAUGCCAUACAUACAAAGUAGAGCCAGAGGACUUAGUGAUAUUAAGAGAUGUGUGUCGUCACUAGUGAUGAUGACAUAAAGUAUGACUUCCAAGUGAUACAAAGGCCAUGAGGCUUGCCUUUUCCUUUCUCCUUUACUUGAAACACCUUACCUUGACUGUCUACAUUUGCUUUUUUCCACUAAGAAAUUAGGUUCUUACUCUCAGCUAAAAUAUAACACACUAGAAAAACAUUAGGAGAUAUACCUAAUGUAAAUGACGAGUUAACGGGUGCAGCACACCAACAUGGCACAUGUAUACAUAUGUAACAAACCUGCACAUUGUGCACAUGUACCCUAGA
ensembl:lncRNA LINC00320 long intergenic non-protein coding RNA 320